UUAAGCGAACAAGAGCACAGGGCGGAUGCCCUGGCAACAGGAGCCGAUGAAGGACGUGACAAGCUGCGAUAAGCUGCGGGAAGGCGCACAUAGCCGUAGAUCCGCAGAUUUCCGAAUGGGGAAACCCGCAUACAGUAAUGUGUAUGCACCCGCGCCUGAAUCAAAUAGGGCGUGAGGAGGAAACCCGGUGAACUGAAACAUCUAAGUAGCCGGAGGAAGAGAAAGAAAGAUCGAUUUCCUGAGUAGCGGCGAGCGAAAGGGAAAGAGCCCAAACCAUGCUACGGCAUGGGGUUGCGGACCAUCAAAGAGAAGGGAAAAGGAAGCCGAAGACAGUUGGAAAGCUGUACCGAAGAGGGUAACGGUCCCGUAGGCGAAUCUUUGAACCGGACAGAUGGCACCAGAGUAGCACCGGACACGUGAAACCCGGUGUGAAGCAGGGAGGACCGCCUCCCAAGGCUAAAUACUACCUGUUGACCGAUAGCGAACAGUACCGUGAGGGAAAGGUGAAAAGAACCCCGGGAGGGGAGUGAAAGAGAACCUGAAACCCUGUGCUUACAAUCGGAGGGAGCGAAAGUGACCUCGUACUUUUUGUAGAACGGGCCAACGAGUUGCGGUGUAUAGCAAGGUUAAGGAGUGAAGCUCCGGAGCCGAAGCGAAAGCGAGUCUGAAGAGGGCGAAAGUUGUAUGCUGCAGACCCGAAACCGGGUGACCUAUCCAUGUGCAGGUUGAAGCGGGAGUAAAAUUCCGUGGAGGACCGAACCCAUAUCUGUUGAAAAAGGUUGGGAUGACGUGUGGAUAGCGGUGAAAUUCCAAUCGAACCCGGAGAUAGCUGGUUCUCCUCGAAAUAGCUUUAGGGCUAGCCUCGGACAGGCGAUACGCGGAGGUAGAGCACUGAAUAUUCCAGGGGGCUUCACCGCCUACCGAAAAUUAUCAAACUCCGAAUGCCGCGCAAUCAGGUCCGGGAGUCAGACUAUGAGAGAUAAGUUCCAUGGUCGAAAGGGAAAGAGCCCAGAUCAACAGCUAAGGUCCCAAAGUUCAGGUUAAGUGGAAAAGGAUGUGGAGUUGCACAGACAACUAGGAUGUUGGCUUAGAAGCAGCCACUCAUUCAAAGAGUGCGUAACAGCUCACUAGUCGAGUGACUCUGCGCCGAAGAUAAACGGGGCUGAAACCUGACACCGAAGCUUUGGAAACAGAAAUGUUUGGUAGAGGAGCAUCGUAUACGGGCAGAAGCGGAACCGUAAGGAACCGUGGACUGUAUAGGAGAGAGAAUGUUGGCAUGAGUAGCGAGAGGCAGGUGAGAAUCCUGUCCGCCGAAAAUCUGAGGUUUCCUGAGGAAGGUUCGUCCGCUCAGGGUAAGUCGGGACCUAAGCCGAGAGCGAAAGCUGUAGGCGAUGGACAACAGGUUGAGAUUCCUGUACCGCCAAGGAUCAUUUGAGUGAAGCGGGGACGCAGGAGGCAAGGCUGAGCACGCCGUUGGUAGAGCGUGUCCAAAUCAGGAGUGUGUAAGGUUGGCAAAUCCGCCUUACGUGAAGCAUGACUGAUGAUGGGGAGGGAAAUCAAGUACUGAAGCAGCUGCCGUCACACUGCCAAGAAAAGCCGCUGGCGAGAUCUGAGGUGCCCGUACCGCAAACCGACACAGGUAGAUGAGGAGAGAAUCCUAAGGCGAGCGAGAGAACUAUUGUCAAGGAACUCGGCAAAAUGACCCCGUAACUUAGGGAGAAGGGGUGCCUGCGCGAGCAGGCCGCAGUGAAGAGGCCCAGGCGACUGUUUACCAAAAACACAGGUCUCUGCCAAAGCGAAAGCUGAAGUAUAGGGGCUGACGCCUGCCCGGUGCUGGAAGGUUAAGGGGAAGUGUCAGGGCAACCGAAGCACAGAACUUAAGCCCCAGUAAACGGCGGCCGUAACUAUAACGGUCCUAAGGUAGCGAAAUUCCUUGUCGGGUAAGUUCCGACCCGCACGAAAG
rnacentral:rRNA from 1 species